rnacentral:rRNA from 1 species
AGAGUUUGAUCCUGGCUCAGGAUGAACGCUGGCGGCGUGCCUAACACGUGCAAGUCGAGCGAGAAGGCUGUGAAUGAAACUUUGGUCGAAUGAUCAGCUGGACAGCGGCGGACGGGUGAGUAACGCGUAGGUAAGCUGCCCCAUGCACAGGGAUAGCCUCGGGAAACUGGGAUUAAUACCUGAUGAUACAGUAGAUUCACAUGUAUUUCCUGUCAAAGAUUUAUCGGCAUGGGAUGCACCUGCGUCUGAUUAGCCAGUUGGUGAGGUAACGGCCCACCAAAGCAACGAUCAGUAGCCGACCUGAGAGGGUAAUCGGCCACAUUGGAACUGAGACACGGUCCAAACUCCUACGGGAGGCAGCAGUGGGGAAUAUUGCACAAUGGGGGAAACCCUGAUGCAGCAACGCCGCGUGAGCGAUGAAGGUCUUCGGAUCGUAAAGCUCUGUCCUUAGGGACGAAGAAGUGACGGUACCUAAGGAGGAAGCCCCGGCUAAAUACGUGCCAGCAGCCGCGGUAAUACGUAUGGAGCAAGCGUUAUCCGGAUUUACUGGGUGUAAAGGGAGCGUAGACGGCUUUGCAAGUCUGAAGUGAAAGCCCGGGGCUCAACCCCGGAACUGCUUUGGAAACUGUAGAGCUAGAGUACAGGAGAGGUAAGCGGAAUUCCUAGUGUAGCGGUGAAAUGCGUAGAUAUUAGGAGGAACACCAGUGGCGAAGGCGGCUUACUGGACUGUAACUGACGUUGAGGCUCGAAAGCGUGGGGAGCAAACAGGAUUAGAUACCCUGGUAGUCCACGCUGUAAACGAUGAUUACUAGGUGUUGGAUGGCAAAGCCAUUCGGUGCCGCAGCAAACGCAUUAAGUAAUCCACCUGGGGAGUACGUUCGCAAGAAUGAAACUCAAAGGAAUUGACGGGGACCCGCACAAGCGGUGGAGCAUGUGGUUUAAUUCGAAGCAACGCGAAGAACCUUACCAAAUCUUGACAUCCCGAUGACCAUCUAUGUAAUGUAGACUUUCUUCGGAACAUCGGUGACAGGUGGUGCAUGGUUGUCGUCAGCUCGUGUCGUGAGAUGUUGGGUUAAGUCCCGCAACGAGCGCAACCCUUGUCUUUAGUAGCCAGCAUUUUGGAUGGGCACUCUAGAGAGACUGCCAGGGAUAACCUGGAGGAAGGUGGGGAUGACGUCAAAUCAUCAUGCCCCUUAUGAUUUGGGCUACACACGUGCUACAAUGGCGUAAACAAAGAGAAGCGAAACCGUGAGGUCAAGCAAAUCUCAAAAAUAACGUCUCAGUUCGGAUUGUAGUCUGCAACUCGACUACAUGAAGCUGGAAUCGCUAGUAAUCGCGAAUCAGAAUGUCGCGGUGAAUACGUUCCCGGGUCUUGCACUCACCGCCGGUCA